rnacentral:rRNA from 1 species
GGCGGCAGGCCUAACACAUGCAAGUCGAGCGGAAACGAAGAGGUGCUUGCACCUCUGGCGUCGAGCGGCGGACGGGUGAGUAAUGCUUGGGAAUAUGCCUUAUGGUGGGGGACAACAGUUGGAAACGACUGCUAAUACCGCAUGAUGUCUACGGACCAAAGUGGGGGACCUUCGGGCCUCACGCCAUAAGAUUAGCCCAAGUGGGAUUAGCUAGUUGGUGAGGUAAUGGCUCACCAAGGCGACGAUCCCUAGCUGGUUUGAGAGGAUGAUCAGCCACACUGGGACUGAGACACGGCCCAGACUCCUACGGGAGGCAGCAGUGGGGAAUAUUGCACAAUGGGCGCAAGCCUGAUGCAGCCAUGCCGCGUGUGUGAAGAAGGCCUUCGGGUUGUAAAGCACUUUCAGUAAGGAGGAAAGGUUAAGUGUUAAUAGCACUUAGCUGUGACGUUACUUACAGAAGAAGCACCGGCUAACUCCGUGCCAGCAGCCGCGGUAAUACGGAGGGUGCGAGCGUUAAUCGGAAUUACUGGGCGUAAAGCGUACGCAGGCGGUUUGUUAAGCGAGAUGUGAAAGCCCCGGGCUCAACCUGGGAACUGCAUUUCGAACUGGCAAACUAGAGUGUGAUAGAGGGUGGUAGAAUUUCAGGUGUAGCGGUGAAAUGCGUAGAGAUCUGAAGGAAUACCGAUG